GGAUUCCAUUGGAUUUUCGUCGAGUAUUUUUGAGACCCACAAUGAGUUUUUGCUGGAAAGAGGACCAAAUACCUUACUGGAGACAAGGUAUGGUCUUUUCCCCUCCUUCCUCUUCCUCUUCCUAGCUUCUCUGAGGUUCUCGCCGGCUAGAUGGCCAUCGGAUUCUAUGAACAAGGCUUCCCCUAUUUUUGCUUUCAUCUUUCCUUUCAUCGAAGUAAUUGCCAUCAUUGGCCAUGUUUAGCUACCAAAGGCCUAGGUCACUGGGGG
rnacentral:lncRNA from 1 species